UUUUUUUUUUUUGUAGCAAGCUAAGCAAAAGAAUCAGACAAGAUCUAUAUCAUACUGGUUUAAAAUAAGCUUGUUACAAUAGCAAUAAUGAAGAAAUAGCAGUGCCCACUAUCAACUACCUAUAAUGUGCUCAGUGAGGCAUUGUUUAAAAUGUAUGCUUCAAAUAAAUGUUAUAUAUAUAUGUAUACAUAAACACACAAACCUAUAUAUAUACACACAUACUGUCACACCUUGAGAGGUAGUGGUGGGUCCGUGUUUUGUGGAUGGUAAUAUUGAGUCUUACAGAAACAGAGUAACUUAGUCCUCCAUGUCCAUGCUGGAGCCCUGUUUAAUGUGAUCAAAUUAGCAAGAUCAUAGGCCAUUAACUAAGCAGUGUUUUACCACAAAACAAACUCCUUAUUUACUUAUUUAAUGACUUUCAUUGAGAUCUGACAGUGUUCUAGCAGCUAUGCUAGCUUGAGGAAAACGAUGUUGACAAAACUAUGAGGUUUCUUCCUCCUGCGGGAUGACUGCAGAGUCUGUAAUUGCUGCAGCUUCUCGCCUCCAUGCCAUGUAAACCUGAGUGAGGAUGGCCAUCUGGGAAGAGAUCCCAGCAAGAUCUCUUUCUGUUUCCCUUGCACAUUCUUUGCCAAGUUCAACAAGAUUUGUUUUUUCAAAACAAAAUCCCUUGGAUUCAGGUGUGUUAAAAGCAGGAGGCUUCAGUUCGAUGAAAAAUGCCAGUGGUGAUUUAAUAGGGAUCACAUUGAAUCUGUAGACUGCCAUGGGUAGUAUGGUCAUUCUUCUAAUCCAUGACCACAGAAUAUCUACCUGUUUGUCUCACCUUCAGUGUCUUUCAUCAGGACACAUGNCCAUACAGUUUUCCAAGUAUUGGUCUUUUACCUCCUUAAGUAGUUUUAUUCCUAGACAUUGUAUCCUUUUUGGUACAGUGGUAAAUGGGAUUGUUUCUUUAAUUUCUCUGAUAGUUCGUUAUUACUGUAUAAAAAUGUAGCAGAUUUGUAGGUAUUAACUUGGUAUCCUGCAAAUUUACUGAAUUCAUUAAUGAGCUCUAAUAGUUUUCUGGUAGUUUCUUAUAUGUUUUUCUAUAUAAAAUAUCCUGUCAUCUGCAAACAGUGACAGUUUCUUUUUGGGGGGGGGGCAGGGACACAUGGCAUAUGGAGGUUCCCAGGCCAGGGGUCAAAUCAGAGCUGUAGCCGCUGGCCUAUACCACAGCACCGAGCCAUGUCUGCAACCUACACCAGAGCUCAUGGCAACACCAGAUCCUUAACUCACUGAGCAAGGCCAGUGAUCAAACCCCCGUCCUCACGGAUACUAGUCAGAUUCGUUUUCGCUGAGCUAUGAUGGGAUCUCCAAAACACUGACAGUUUUACAUCUUCCUUUUUAAUCAUUAGGGAAAUGCAAAUCCAAGUUCCAAUGAUAUAUCACCUCACACAUGACAGAAGGGCUAUCAUCAAUGCACUGAUUCAUUGAUUCCUAUUUUUAUUCCUGAAAUACUUUGUGAAGUUUAUGCGUCAUUUAGCUCUCUCCAUACUAUUUCUUUAUUUCAUUCUGAAGACAAUCUCACUUAUACUCUUCCCUGUCUUUCUUCUCUAGAACUAAUGAUGGGGUCUGAUCUCUGACUUUUUUUUUUUUAUUAAACUUAGCUUUUAAAAGUCCAAGUGCUAAUGGCUAUGACCCAGUAGCUUUUUCUCUCCUUCACAGCACAGAUAGAAAAAUAACUUUCCAUUUGGGGAAUCUGUUUCUGCUUUGCUUCUCAGUGUUUAAACCAGCCCUCCACUGUGCUAAGUCAGCCUUUGCAGAAGCUAUUCUGUCAUCCUCAAGUGGCCUUGACCCUGAAAUUGGUCAGAUGUUCUUGGCAAUAAAGAGCCCCUGUGUAACAGGUUACAGGGGUUUAACAGCCACUUGGGGUGGGGCUGGUCCUAUUGUC
ensembl:lncRNA